rnacentral:rRNA from 1 species
GAUGAACGCUGACAGAAUGCUUAACACAUGCAAGUCAACUUGAACUUCGGUUUGGGUGGCGGACGGGUGAGUAACGCGUAAAGAACUUGCCUCACAGCUAGGGACAACAUUUGGAAACGAAUGCUAAUACCUGAUAUUAUGAUUUUAGGGCAUCCUAGAAUUAUGAAAGCUAUAUGCGCUGUGAGAGAGCUUUGCGUCCCAUUAGCUAGUUGGAGAGGUAACGGCUCACCAAGGCGAUGAUGGGUAGCCGGCCUGAGAGGGUGAACGGCCACAAGGGGACUGAGACACGGCCCUUACUCCUACGGGAGGCAGCAGUGGGGAAUAUUGGACAAUGGACCAAGAGUCUGAUCCAGCAAUUCUGUGUGCACGAUGAAGUUUUUCGGAAUGUAAAGUGCUUUCAGUUGGGAAGAAAAAAAUGACGGUACCAACAGAAGUAGUGACGGCUAAAUACGUG